rnacentral:rRNA from 1 species
CGUAGGGUGCAAGCGUUAAUCGGAAUUACUGGGCGUAAAGCGUGCGCAGGCGGUUUUGUAAGUCUGAUGUGAAAUCCCCGGGCUCAACCUGGGAAUUGCAUUGGAGACUGCAAGGCUAGAAUCUGGCAGAGGGGGGUAGAAUUCCACGUGUAGCAGUGAAAUGCGUAGAUAUGUGGAGGAACACCGAUGGCGAAGGCAGCCCCCUGGGUCAAGAUUGACGCUCAUGCACGAAAGCGUGGGGGAGCAAACAGGAUUAGAUACCCUGGUAGUCCACGCCCUAAACGAUGUCUACUAGUUGUCGGGUCUUAAUUGACUUGGUAACGCAGCUAACGCGUGAAGUAGACCGCCUGGGGAGUACGGUCGCAAGAUUA